AAACCCUGAUGCAGCCAUGCCGCGUGUGUGAAGAAGGCCUUCGGGUUGUAAAGCACUUUCAGUCAGGAGGAAGGUGGUGUAGCUAAUAUCUGCACCAAUUGACGUUACUGACAGAAGAAGCCCCGGCUAACUUCGUGCCAGCAGCCGCGGUAAUACGAAGGGGGCUAGCGUUGUUCGGAAUUACUGGGCGUAAAGCGCACGUAGGCGGACUUUUAAGUCAGGUGUGAAAUCCCGGGGCUCAACCUCGGAACUGCAUUUGAAACUGGAAGUCUGGAGAUCAGGAGAGGGUAGCGGAAUACCGAGUGUAGAGGUGAAAUUCGUAGAUAUUCGGUGGAACACCAGUGGCGAAGGCGGCUAACUGGACUGAUACUGACGCUGAGGUGCGAAAGUGUGGGGAGCAAACA
rnacentral:rRNA from 1 species